ACUUUGGGCUCCUCAUGCCUCUGAAUCAACGGGCAAAGAAGAGAGUUAUAGAUCCUAACCACCCAGGAGAAAUUCGGUGGCCACUACACAAACAGAAUGUAUUAAUAGUAAUUAAAUUUAUAUCAUAGUCUUGAAAUUACAAGAUAUCCAACUUGAAGCAUGCAUUGGGAGAAGAAUAAAUAUCAUCCAAAGACAAAAAAACAACAACACGACGUUGUGUUCUACUAAAAGGAAAAAAGCCUAUUUUCAGAUGUACUUAGAAGAGAUACACCAUGUUAGGUGGAAGUUUGACUUUGUCAUGAUCUUUUGUGUAGUCUAAGUAUGAUUUAAGAUGUUUAUGAGUGCCAAAUUGGUAAGGAGUGGAUUGUGCUGGCUCUGCAAACUAUGUCAGCUUGGCUGUACUGGGCUACAUUUCCCAGAGUACCCUUCCCUGUAUAUCUCCACUUAGGGUGGGCCAAGAGAGAUUCUUGCAGGCGAUUUAGUGGGUGGAAGUAAAGCAACAACUAUUUUAUAUCUUGCACAUAUUUUUGUCAGUCUGGUUAAAUUAUUGAUGUGAGGCAUGAGGUGGACCUACAACUAGUGCACCUUCCCUUUGAUAUUUCUUCAGCUUUUCUGACUCUGCGGCCAGGUGUUUGUAUUUAACUCCACGGUGAGGAGACUCAUCUUCUGACGGACCUAACCUAUACCAUCAAGGUCAGAGGCAACAAGAAAUGGCAUGCAUUUCAGUUUAUUGUUCUGUGGCUCCAGCUUGUAUAUUUUAACUCUAGAUUUUUUUUUACUUUCCCCACUUUACAAUCAUCUUCCCUUUCCAACUACCUUCCUUGUGGACUUCAAGCUCCAGCACCACAAGCAAAGACAAAAACCUUGCGGAAACUAUUUAACUAACUCCCACAAUUGCAUAAGUUCCAAGAUGUUGCUACAAAUCCAGAUAUCAUGGCCAUGUUCACAGCAAGAAUGAGAAAAAGGGGGCAGCUAUAUCUGUACUAAUUUACGAGGAAAGUCACCCCACUUCCUCCAAUAGACUUUCUUCUGAGCCUCACUAACCUCAACUGCGUCCCAAGAUCACCACUAGUUGCAAAGGCGAAUGUCAAAGCAGGAAAAAUAAUUCUCAUGUUGGGUUAUGUUAAUCAUUAUCUAUCUUCCUCCAUAAACCAAAGCAGGGUACUCUAAGCAAGGCAGAAGGAGCAAAUAGAUCCUGAGUGGGCAAAUAGUGGGAUCUGCUACACAGCAUAUGUUAAUAAAGGUGGCUGAAUAGUUUAUUAUCUGA
rnacentral:lncRNA from 1 species